GGGUGUAUAGCUCAACGGUUAGAGCGUCUGACUCUUAAUUAGAAUAUCCGGGUUCGAUUCCCUGUACACCUA